UACGAAGGGUGCAAGCGUUAAUCGGAAUUACUGGGCGUAAAGCGCGCGUAGGUGGUUCAGCAAGUUGGAUGUGAAAGCCCUGGGCUCAACCUGGGAACUGCAUCCAAAACUACUGAGCUAGAGUACGGUAGAGGGUAGUGGAAUUUCCUGUGUAGCGGUGAAAUGCGUAGAUAUAGGAAGGAACACCAGUGGCGAAGGCGACUACCUGGACUGAUACCGUACGACUACGUAGGUAGGUCGG
rnacentral:rRNA from 1 species